GGUAGGGGAGAUUGGAAUUCCUGGUGUAGCGGUGGAAUGCGCAGAUAUCAGGAGGAACACCGAUGGCGAAGGCAGAUCUCUGGGCCGUAACUGACGCUGAGGAGCGAAAGGGUGGGGAGCAAACAGGCUUAGAUACCCUGGUAGUCCACCCCGUAAACGUUGGGAACUAGUUGUGGGGUCCAUUCCACGGAUUCCGUGACGCAGCUAACGCAUUAAGUUCCCCGCCUGGGGAGUACGGCCGCAAGGCUAAAACUCAAAGGAAUUGACGGGGACCCGCACCAGCGGCGGAGCCUGCGGAUUAAUUCGAUGCAACGCGAAGAACCUUACCAAGGCUUGACAUAUACGAGAACGGGCCAGAAAUGGUCAACUCUUUGGACACUCGUAAACAGGUGGUGCAUGGUUGUCGUCAGCUCGUGUCGUGAGAUGUUGGGUUAAGUCCCGCAACGAGCGCAACCCUCGUUCUAUGUUGCCAGCACGUAAUGGUGGGAACUCAUGGGAUACUGCCGGGGUCAACUCGGAGGAAGGUGGGGAUGACGUCAAAUCAUCAUGCCCCUUAUGUCUUGGGCUUCACGCAUGCUACAAUGGCCGGUACAAAGGGCUGCAAUACCGCGAGGUGGAGCGAAUCCCAAAAAGCCGGUCCCAGUUCGGAUUGAGGUCUGCAACUCGACCUCAUGAAGUCGGAGUCGCUAGUAAUCGCAGAUCAGCAACGCUGCGGUGAAUACGUUCCCGGGUCUUGUACACACCGCCCGUCAAGUCAUGAAAGUCGGUAACACCUGAAGCCGGUGGCCUA
rnacentral:rRNA from 1 species